AUGAUUAGAGCCUUCCAGAAUAAUGCAAUCGAUGCAGAGAUUGUUGGUGGUCAGCAUGCUGGAAAGAGGGUCUUCAUACCUAGGAUCCCUAUGUCGCCCUCGAAGGACAUCUCAGUUCCUUUCAAACUUAAGAGGAAACAGUUCCCCAUUCGCCUGAGUUUUGCGAUGACAAUUAACAAGGCGCAGGGUCAGACUAUCCCAAACGUCGGUAUUUACCUUCCCGAGCCAGUAUUCACACAAGGUCAGCUCUAUGUUGCAUUGUCAAGGGGAGUGUCCAGAGAGACGAUGCGGAUUUUCGCCAAGCCAAACAACGAGGUUGAUAAAUCUGGGAAAAGCACCAAGAACAUUGUCUACAGAGAUGUUUUGGGGAGACGAGGCAGGUGCGCUAUUCCAUUAUUUAUUUGCACCUUGUUAUUGUAUCUGUAA
rnacentral:rRNA from 1 species